rnacentral:rRNA from 1 species
UACGGAGGGUGCAAGCGUUGUCCGGAAUCACUGGGCGUAAAGGGUGCGUAGGCGGUUUGGUAAGUCUGAUGUGAAAUCUAUGGGCUCAACUCAUAGUCUGCAUCGGAAACUGCCGGGCUUGAGUAUGGGAGAGGUGAGUGGAAUUCCUGGUGUAGCGGUGAAAUGCGUAGAUAUCAGGAGGAACACCUGUGGCGAAAGCGGCUCACUGGACCAUAACUGACGCUGAUGCACGAAAGCUAGGGGGAGCAAACAGG